UACAGAGGGUGCAAGCGUUAUUCGGAAUCACUGGGCGUAAAGCGUGCGUAGGCGGCUACAUAAGUCGGGUGUGAAAGCCCCGGGCUCAACCUGGGAAUUGCAUUCGAGACUGCGUAGCUAGGGUGCGGAAGAGGGAAGCGGAAUUUCCGGUGUAGCGGUGAAAUGCGUAGAUAUCGGAAGGAACACCAGUGGCGAAGGCGGCUUCCUGGUCCGGCACCGACGUUCAGGCACGAAAGCGUGGGGAGCAAACAGG
rnacentral:rRNA from 1 species